CGGUGUCCAUGAUGAUCCACGUUACCUACAUUGUUUGAAUCUCAUGAGAACAGCACUGGCUGAGACGCCU